GGGCAGACGGAAUCCAGUGUGAUACCUGCGAUCACGGGCAGCGAUCACGGGCAGCGAGAUGCGCGUUUUCUCAAGUUUUUAAGGAUUCCUCUUCCUAGGCAUGCAUUAAGGAUUUUGACAUUUUACAGUGAAAGUGGCUUUCUGGAAGCCUGCAAUUCUCGUUGCUUUGCCUCUCAAGAUCAUCUCUUUCACUUCCCGGGCAUUGUCACGUGAACUAAAGCACGGAUUUACGUGAGGGAAGAGAAGAGGCAUCGGGGGCCUGCCUCCUGCCCGGCAUCAUGGGGACCCCACGGUGGCAGCUGGUGGGCAGGCUGAUCCCCCAGCUCAUCCUCGGACCUCUCUCAUCUCGCUCAUUUCCUCCGACGCCCCAGGUGGACUUCGAAGAAAAAAGCAGAGAGGAGCAAAAAGAAUAUCAAUUAUUCCAAUAAUGGUCAUGAGCCAUGGAAAUCCGAUUGCCUUUGCGAUAGCCCCACCAGCAGAAGGACCUUUCAGGAAACAGAGAAUUAGACUGACCUCUCUCCAGAUGUCUCACAGAUAGGAAGACUCGUCCCCUUUGCCGGUGAGAAGUCCCGCAGCAUGGUGGUGAUCGAUAUCUCUGUUCACCUUUUCUGUACCACACCUCACCCCACCCCCCUGCCCGCCCUGGUUCAUAGGAGCAGCUCAGUGCACAGACCUGAGCCCAAACAAACAGGCUCUGAGCAAGGGAUUCUCUUGUUUGCCCGAGGGCAGCAACGGAGUAUCCGUUUGCUUCUGUAAAUAUCAGGCUUUUAAAAAUACUGGUUUUCUGGAAAUAAAGGACUAGUACGCAGAAGCAGGUAUCUAUCUAUAGAUAGUGGUCAGGCUGUACUUGAACGUGGCUGCCCACAGCCUCCUCUCAAGCUUCCGGAAAUUUUAGGUUGAGGAA